rnacentral:rRNA from 1 species
CCUACGGGAGGCUGCAGUGGGGAAUAUUGGACAAUGGGGGGAACCCUGAUCCAGCCAUGCCGCGUGUGUGAAGAAGGCCCUCGGGUUGUAAAGCACUUUCAGUGAGGAAGAACGCCUGGUGGUUAAUACCCAUCAGGAAAGACAUCACUCACAGAAGAAGCACCGGCUAACUCCGUGCCAGCAGCCGCGGUAAUACGGAGGGUGCGAGCGUUAAUCGGAAUUACUGGGCGUAAAGCGCGCGUAGGUGGCUUGAUAAGCCGGUUGUGAAAGCCCCGGGCUCAACCUGGGAACGGCAUCCGGAACUGUCAAGCUAGGGUGCAGGAGAGGAAGGUAGAAUUCCCGGUGUAGCGGUGAAAUGCGUAGAGAUCGGGAGGGAUACCAGUGGCGAAGGCGGCCUUCUGGACUGACACUGACACUGAGGUGCGAAAGCGUGGGUAGCAAACGGGAUUAGAGACCCCAGUAGUG